CUGUGCUUCCACCCAGUAUAGUCCCAAAUCAAUAUCUGCCUAGGAAAUCGUCUAGUCUUAAUCUGCAUUGCUAUUUUUACUCGUUACAACCUAACAA